UCCCUGGUUGUCCAGUGGCUAAGACUCCACACUCCCAAUGCAGGGGACCCAGGUUCAAUCCCUGGUCAGGGAA
rnacentral:tRNA from 1 species